AAUUUCUUGGUCCCUUCAACAAGUUGAAAACAAAGCUAAACAUUAAAUUUUGCUAACUUUGAUGUCAGGGUCUCUGUUUUAUGUUUUCAAUACACUAUUUCUUCAUUUCAGAAGUGUUUCUUUUUUUCUUUUUUUUUUUUUGCAGUUAUUGCUGACAAGAACAUAAAUCUAUUCUGAGGAAUCACGUGCGAAGCAAAAUGGAAAAUCCCAGAACUUCACUCCCAAGUGCCUGCCCCAUGUAAACUCCUCCCAGAGCACAGCAAAGCCAAGUUCUCAGAUCUGUUUGUGUCCAGUUGUGAUUUUGUGUGAGGUCAAUGGACAUUUUGCCCUCUUCCUUCCAUCUUCCUGGGCAGGGUUGAACCGCUUUAGUGUGGUACAGUAUUUGUGCUCCAGAGCGUUAAUUAACCAAUGUCCUCUUACUGGAAUGAGAAACCAAGAGCAGGCCUGCUCUUGUCCCCACCAGCACCCCAUUUUGCCUAGCUGUCCCUCUCCCACCCAGAUCAGAGCGGUGAGUCUGAGAAGCUAGGCCCGCCCGAAAGCAGAGGAGCCAAAUCCAAGCGCUGCCCCGCGGGCUCCGCUGGCGCCCGCAACUUGUUUUCCACUGUCUUGGCUGGGGUUCAGGACGCCGGCGCCCCACCCUGCAGGAAGCCCUCCCUAGGAGCCUUGCCCAGCUGCCCGCCGUCGAUGGCCCCACCUCCUCUGCGCCUCCCGCCCUCCCCGGGCAGGAUAGUGGAGCGCGGCCGGAGGCGCCUGCAGAUGCGGGCGUCAGCCCUAGAUACCCUGUGUGAAUCAUAUGCUCCCACAUGCCAAGGCUUCAGAAGGAUUUUCUGGACCUUAGGGCACUAAACUGUGGAGAUGUGGUUCAGCUUCCAGGACUAGUUUCCAGAGAAAAUGAAGAGAGAAGUCAGUCUCCAUGUAUGGUGUGCUUCGCUGCUACCGACAGACAGAACAUCUGAAACAAUUUACUGACUAUUAAGGGAAGAUUAUGAUGACAUAAUUCUUGCUUGUACCAACUGGAAAUUAUCUGCUUACAUAAUAUUUUGGCUAAAAAGUAUUGCAAAAUUUUGUAAGAAAAAAAAAGAGACUCUAGGUUGAUGAGAAAAGGCCUUAGUUGCUAGGGAAGGGAAAAGAAAGGGCACCUACAUCCUGUGAGAUGAUGUGUGUGCACACUUUGCUUUAUCUCAUUAUCUUAGUUUAUUUCUAAAGUUUUAUGGUGUUGGGAGGGGUUUAUAUCAGCUUAUAUUUUCAGAUCACAGUCCAUGGCUGAGAGAAGUCAUGGCUUGGACCUGGAGGCAAGCACCAAUGUAGAGACCACAGAGAGUGUUACUUACUUGCUUGCUCCCAAGGUUUGCUCAGUCUAAAAUUUUCUUGCCUGGGGUGGCACCACCUACAGUGAUCUGGGGUCUUCCACAUCAAUCAUCAAUUAAGAUGCACCAUAGGCCACCCUGGUGGAGGCGAUUUUCUCAUUUGAGGUUCCCUCUUCCCAAAUAACUCCAGCUUGUGUCAGUUUGGUAUAAAACUAGCCAGUACAGUAGUCAGCUUGUAGAGCCAGAAUUCUUUGAUUGAAGAAGAAGCCAAUUCUUCUUGAGGAAACACAUUAUAAGAACAAUACUAAAAUUUGCACUAUUAAUUUUUCAUCCCCCUUUCUGCAAAGGAUCUUUUAAAGUGACUUUUAUUUCAGGAUAGCUAUAUGUAAAAGAAAAGGAAAUAAACAUGCCAUUCAGAAAUUGCUAUCCA
rnacentral:lncRNA from 1 species